rnacentral:rRNA from 1 species
GACAGAGGGUGUAAACGUUGCUCGGAAUUACUGGGCGUAAAGGGCGUGUAGGCGGGAAGGCAAGUCGGGCGUGAAAGCCCCAGGCUCAACCUGGGAACUGCACUCGAAACUGCCUUUCUUGAGUGCCGGAGAGGAAAGCGGAAUUCCUGGUGUAGAGGUGAAAUUCGUAGAUAUCAGGAGGAACACCAGUGGCGAAGGCGGCUCUCUGGACGGUAACUGACGCUGAGACGCGAAAGCGUGGGGAGCAAACAGG